AUAGUAUUCCCUCCGUUCGAAAUUACUUGUCGCAAAAAUGAAUGUAUCUAAAUGUAUUUUAGUUUUAGAUAUAUCCAUUUCCGAUACAAUUAAUUUCGAACGGAGGGAGUACUAC
rfam:Triticum aestivum genome assembly, contig: Triticum_aestivum_CS42_TGACv1_scaffold_131775_2BL